GUGACGUCACCGGACGCGCCCGCUUCUCGCUGGAGUGCGCACCGAGCGGCAGUGACUUCGCCGCUGCUGUAGUUCCCCGGCUGGAUGCGGUGACUGGUGCCAGUGCUCAGGCGCCCGCUGCCCUUGACCUCCCGCCCCGCGAGCCCUAACUCAGCGCAGGAGGACCGGCUGCCGCCGCCGCCGCCGCCAGAGCCUUGGCUGCCCAGUUGCCAGUCCUACCACGGUCGGAGGUAACCUUCCUGGCUCCAGUCACAUGGCCAGAUAAGGUGGUGUGUGUGGGCAUGAAUUAUGUGGACCACUGCAAAGAACAGAACGUGCCCGUGCCCAAGGAGCCCAUCAUCUUCAGCAAGUUUGCCAGCUCCAUCGUGGGGCCCUAUGAUGAGGUGGUCCUCCCACCACAGAGCCAGGAGGUAGAUUGGGAAGUGGAGCUGGCCGUGGUCAUUGGAAAGAAAGGCAAGCACAUCAAGGUGAAGUGGAAAAGAUCCACACAACUUAAAGAUCUGCUGUCGAGUGAAUGGGGAAGUGGUCCAGAGCAGCAACACCAACCAGAUGGUAUUCAAGACAGAGGACCUGAUAGCCUGGGUGUCCCAGUUUGUUACCUUUUACCCAGGGGAUGUCAUCCUGACUGGGACCCCCCCACCUCCACCCAGGUGUCGGUGUAUUCAGGAAACCUCCUGUCUUUCUCAAGGUCUCUGAAGGUCCAGACAGCACUGAUGGCGAGCUUUGGGUCCGCACACUCUGGAAAGAAGAGAGAAGUGAAGGCUCUAGGUAGGGAGAACAGAGAGCCACUGGGCACAGGCUUCUCUCCUCUUGUUUAAAGAAGCCCAGGGAGGGAUAGAGCUCUGACUGGACAGAAGACUGUACUCUGCAGCCUGCCUUCCUAGAGUUGGGUUGUCACUGUCCUGCAGGGGGCAGCAGCCACCAGCAAACACCACUGCCUGCAGGAGCCUGGGCUGACUGGUUGGGACUCACCGAAGAUCCCUUCUUCCUGGGCGGUGGCCUGCAGGAACUGGAACAGCUGCUCUGUGUAGCCCAACUCUGCAGAAGAGAGAAGACCUAGACCUGGCACCCAGCACAGACACAGCCUGCCUCGAGGACUGCAAGGGAACAAGGGCCUCACCAGUAUCGGGCAGCUGGCCCUGGCGGAGGAAGGCGGCAGCCUGUGCAAAGGCCUUGAGCAGCGGGCUGAGCAGGCGGCAGAGGAAAAGAAAGAAAUCUGGGCAGUGUGACUGCUGGCUGAGCUGGAGGGGACAGGCCGGGGUGAGUGCAGCUCCCCACCGCCUCCCUACCACCUCCCUCCAGGGGCAGCUUUUUGAAACACACCCUGAAGUACCGGCCGUCAGCCUCUCCGAAGUCAUCACUGUCACUAUCAGUAAAGUCCCCACUCGGUUUCCACAGCA
rnacentral:lncRNA from 1 species